AGCUUGAUUCGUAUUUCCAAAUCUGAAUUUUUUUGUCAGUAGACUGGCAAAUGUUAAAAUGCCGAAACGGCAAUACAAUAUCUGAAUAUGCCCAUUUUACAGCUCUAGACUAUGAAAUGUUAGCAUCUAAUUACUGAAUCAAGAUAAACCUGUAAACCGUCAAAAUUAUCAACAGCUUUAUGAUGAUCGCAAACUCAGACUACUGGCAGGCUGGACUACAGGAAACACAUGAACAGGCAGACAGGGGAGGGGGUGACGUUGCUCUACACCCAGAAACCGUGACUUGAAGAAUGUGGCAUUAAAAGAAACAGAAACUGAAGAAUCUGAUUAUGCAGGCAUGAACAAAUUGUUUGCCCAAACUCUGAACUAUGAAAAUGUCAAUGUCUAAGGCUUCAUAAUAUUUGAGAUUCUUACUAACAUGUUAUUUCAAGGAAGAAGAAUUUGAGGUAGCCUACCUCUUCCAUCUCAUCUACAAAGUUUGGUAAUACUGGAAAAGUCUGUAUCGAUUGAUUGCCCACAGAUUUUUGUCCAUGAACUCCAAGAGGAAAAGAAAAUAUGAAAAUUUAUAGAAAGAUAACUUGAAGUUAUGGAGAAGAAAAUACCAUGAGUUCCUCAAAGCAAAUGGAUAAUGCAAUACAAUCAGCAUGGGCAACACUAACCCGGAAAGACUCCCCCUCUGCCAUAGACUAUUCUCUCUUAGAGGCUGUCUAUAGAGACUUGUUUAAAGUGACUAUGUGAACGGAUACCCUGCGAGCAUAAACUUCUUCAACGAGAAGUUUCUGUUUACCUCGCAUUUCUAACUUUUCACUAUACAAUUUCUCAUUUUUCCAAGUUUUCAAUCAUUCAUUUCACGUUCACUUUUAUUUUUUGAAUAAACCUUGUUUCAUAGAAUAGUCUGUGAUUUUUACUGAUCAUGUCCUGUAAAAUGUAAUGCCAGGAGAUUUACGGUACUUUUUACCGGGUUCUGAAUGUAAAUUCACCAAAUUUGUAAUGUAAAUUCACAGGCUAGCGUCGGUAAAUAUUACUACGCAUUGCCGGUGAAAAUUACUAGAAAAUAAUUGUAAGGAUUACUAGGAAAAUCCUGUAAAAUUCACAGGUGUUCAACAGCGAUUUUACCGAAAAUUCUUGUGAUAUUUACCUUAAAAUCGCAUUAAAAUUUCACAACUACAUUCCAGUAAUAUGUAAUGCCAGGCGA